CACUCUUCUCCCUCUCCCACAUUUCUCUCCCUCCACUCGUUCCUUCCUUGCCGCACCAAAUCUCUCCAGCUUCGUCGUCGCUCCGGUUCACGGGCCUUCGCGUAACUCCAGCUGACUUGACAACAUGCCAGACUGGGAAGCAGCUGUGCCCGCGCCCUGCCAGGUCAUCAAACAUGACGUGGAUAAAUGCGUCAGAGAGAAAGCAGCGGAGGCCUGUAGGGACUUACUAGAUGCCUUUCAGGCUUGUGCCAAAACGCUGUCCGAGGGGUCGUGAGUCACCCACCAACACUUCUCCAGAAAAUAUUCAUUUCUCCCUUGCCUCCAUCCUCCAAUCAGCCCCCUCCAUUCACAGAGCGAUGGACUCAACCAUCCGUGAUCACGGAAGAGUGGGGAGGACAUUUUUAUCAAGACGCAAAAUACUUAUUGUAGCCCCACAGUGUUGUCCAGUCAUGCUGCCCGCCAACAGUUUAACAUGUUGUGUAACCUAUCCGUUUAAAGAAGCAUAUAAAAUGACAUGUUUCUGAGUGAAAUGAAA